UUACAUUGCCACUGAUUAUCAUCAAAAUCCUGAUUUAAUAUAAACAAUGUUAAUUCUUUCAUUACAUAUAUGCACAUGUUUUUCCCUAUCAAUAGUCAUACAUCAAAUUGUCUUUUGUCAAUAUUCUAUUUAUAUAAAUAUAUGUAUUUAUAUAAAAAUAUGUGUAAUUUGUUGUACAUACAUAUAUUGUACCUAUUCAUAUAAUGUCAGUUAAAGAAAUAUGUUGUAUUCAUUGAGCAACGCUUUGAGUCAACCGAUAGUCCCGGGUGUAACCAGAAAUUCCGUGUAAUAUCGCCAAGGGCCAUGCAUGCCGCUAUAACAUAACCAUCCUCAAACGCCACCAAUUCGAUAACCCAAUGAAUAUGUUGAUGAUAGAACGCAUCUAUUGUGAACAAUUCAAUCACCCAUAACUAAUAAAAACAAUACAUUGCGAAAGAAGCGUUCAGAUCAGAUUAUAAUUUGCUUUUGAAUAUUGAACCUGAUGAUGCAUUUGGAUUUAAUUGCUCUAUUUCAAAAUGCAGUCAAUAUCUUGUAACUUCUUAUAGUUUUAAAUAAAUUAUACGUACAUUAUAUUUUAUCAGUCAAAUGAUUUUGAGAUAUAUUUUUUUCUUGUUUAGAUGCACAUAAUGUCUUAUUUUCUAUUUUGUGGUCAUAUGUUGCAAAACAUUUAGAUAACUAUUGUAAUGGGCAAAGAUUUAAUUGUUUUUUUUUGUAAACUACAUGAAAGUGUUGACAAAAAAACAAAGAUAAUUCUAAAGGAUAUUAUCUUUUACACAGAGAGGGAAUUUUCUUUCAAAAUUUACUCUUGAAAUCGUUCUCAAUAUAAAUAAUAUAUAAUAAUUAAUACAUAAAUUUAAAUAAAACAUUUUCAUUUUAUAAUAAUUGCAAUUUUUGCAAUAUUACGCAAUGUUAUACGUUAAAAAAAUUAAUUAGACAAAAAUGUCAAUUAAAAAAUAUAUAAAAAUCAAUUAAUAGAAUGAUUGGUAUGCAUACACAGACGUUACUAUAUUGUAUGUGUUUAUUUAAAUCUAUUGUUAAAUUUCAAUUACUUUAAAACUGUUCUUCAUAUUAAUAAUUUUGUAUUAAAACUUUAUUUCUAAUUAAUAUCCAUGUAAUUACAAUAUGUAGAUAAUAUAUUUAACGUAGCAAUAUAAUACAUAAGUAUGUUUCUUUGUUACUCUUACGAGAUAAUAAAAAUUACUUUUUUUGUGUAUUUUUUUGGUUCUCGAUUUACAGAGAAUUUCAAUUGUUUUAUAUUGAAGGCUGCGUUUCAAAAUUUACUGCCAAUACUGAAAUUCUAUAGUAUAACAUACGUAAUGUGAACUAUAGAUUUUUAAUACUGGUAGUGAUUUUUAGAACGCAGCUAUAAUUGACAAUACACAAUUUUGAAUCUGCAUUACAAUACAUAUUAUAAGAAAAAGAUUUUACUAAAAUAUCUAAAAAUUCAGCUAAAUAUAGAUUUGAAAAUAAUUUUUAAUGAAAUUUGAUUUAAAAAUUAAUUAUAAGCCAGCACAUUUCUGGUGGUCUCUAUUAUUAUAUCUAAAAAACUGUUUGUAAUAUACACGUAAUAUAAUAUCAACGAUUCAAAUAUCUUAAUGCAAAAUGUGAGAAUUAAUGUGGCAGUAAAAUUAAAAGGAUAAAGAGAUAAUCACGAGACGGCCAAAAUACUGCGAAAUUCGAGACAUGUCUAUGUUUGCAAGAUAGACCUGUUUACCAUUCGUAGUAUUUCGUGAAACACGGCUUUACACAAUUUCUUGAGCGUGACUGUAAUUCUUAGGUUACACAACGCAAGCUCUAUUAGCUUGCAACACAUGCGCGUAUGUCGGGUGCAUUUGAGCAAAAUCCGUUAGUUCAACAUUCCGGGUAGUCACGUGGCGCAUUUACGGCGUAACUUUCCAGAUUAGAUCUGGCGCGCUACAUACGUCUAUAUCCACAUGUGGAUUCAAGAAAGAGAGAGAGAGAGAGCGUAGAUAGAGGUCGAAGUAAAAAGGUGCCGCGAAAAGGUAGCGGUGGGCGCGUAAAGACGCUUUCGGAGAGAAUAUUCGUUGGUAAAGUUUGCCGGCAAAAUGAAGUUGGUAAGUUUUUAAAUUUCGCUGUGCCAACCCCGGAAUAUAGAUCCUUGGGUAAUCUUGCGCGAAUGUCCUCGUGCCGUUCACAAUGCUCCAGACUCUUCGAAUUCGCAGCGACACUCAAAACUUUUAUUCGCGCACAUAAUAAAUCCUGAAAUUUAUUACAUAUAAUAAGCGUAUUAAAUUUAUUCGUGCAAGUACGUAGAUUUUUAUUAUUGUGUCCAAUUUUACGAGUGAUAAUAUUAUAUUCGUUCUUCGAAAUAAAAAUACUGAAGGCUAGCUUACACUUUCGUACAUGACAUCCAUGCAUUCUUCGUAUAUUGGCUAUGCAGAGUGAUUUUUUUUUUAAGUACUAUUUAAUAUUCGUAUAUUUUUGAACAAAGUUAAUUUUUAAAGUUAUUUUACGAAGAAAAAUUUACGUAAACGUAAAUAUCGUCUUAAAGACUUCAUUUCAGAUACAUUAAGCAUUAAAGAUCUUAUUUAAUUUUUAUUUUUUCUAAGUAAAAAUAUAUUUCUUACGUACAUCGAACCGUUUUUUUACUGCUUAGUCGGAUCAAUUACACUGAUAAACAGUUGUAUUUUUCAACGGAUUUUUGAGCUCCACAAAAUUUGAAACAAUUCUGGUAUUACAUUUGGCUUGGUGUACUGAAUAUAAACUGUCCACAGAGCUGCGUUUGUGAAUUUCAGCUUGUAAUUAUUAAUCUUUUAACAAAAGGUAUACGUAUGUAUCAAGGUUAUGGUCUAAAGCGCGGGAAGCAAGGAUCACGUAGAAAGAGACGAGUAAUAAAAAGCGAGCACUUCGGUCUUUUUAAGGAGGAGAGAGAAUGCUGCUUACUUUGCGCUUUCUGUUCUUAACAAUCUCAUCCGUAUUCACGUCUCCUGAUUACGCUCGUAGACACACUCGGAUACACCAUGGCUUUGGUUAUGUACACUGUCCGACAAUGAUUCGUUCCUAGACACCCCUCGCCGGAUAAGGGAGGCGUUGAGCUUUAUCGACCUAACGACAAUUUCGCAGAUAUCGAUAAUUAGAUCGAUCAAUGUAUCUAGUGAGUCAUUGCCGGGUGAUGGCGCUAUCUUGCCGCGUUUUCUUUAUUACCCCGCGAGAAGUGCAUUAGUGACGAGCAAUUGUCGGGCGGUGUACGUACUCUUCGUAAUAAAAGUAACGUAUCGCUUGCGAAAUGCGUGUGUAUGCGUUCGUUUAUGUACGGCCAACGGAAAAAUCGUGAUUAUGUUCCGCACACAGUGGCACGCGAUCCCCGAUUAUCAGGCAAAUUCAGUUUAUUUAAACUCACCAAGAGGAAAGUCGCGCGUGUUCAACUUUAUUCUGUUGGCAGCAGUUUCGCUAGUCAACAUUCAGGAGGUACCUACGAACACGACGCGCGCCACGUCCGACUACUUGCUGCUGAUUUCGAACAGUGAGUUAAUGAUUCCUCCUUAAUUCUAGAAUACUCGGAGAUAUCGGCGCGAUAUUGUUGUCGGCGUGUUGACGAUCAGUACGUUGCGCGCGAACGGCUCGCGUACGUAAAUGUCCUUGAAGAGAGUCGCACGUCGCACGGGAGCUUUCUUGGCGAUGGAGGGGGGAGGCGAGCGUUGUGGUGGGGAGCGUUGAAGGGGGGCGAGCGAGGGAACGACCGCUCCGGACUCACUUCGCACUUGACGCGUUACGCUACCCGCUUGCGUUCGCAUAUUUGUUAAUAAUUCCCGGAAGAGAGUUUGUUGCGGAGCCGGUACACUGCGGCAACGCGCGCGGACAUUCGGACACAGCCCGAGGGGCCGUCUCCGUCGUCGCUGUAACGUAUUCGACCGUUACCGUCCGUUUGAUCAUUCGUAUUAUCGUCGGCAUCUAAGUUUUUUAAUUCUUUAGCCGAAGUGAGUGCGCGUAUCAAAUUUGUGAUUCUUUUCGUCGCGACUAUUUCAUUCGUAUCCGCGAUCGCGUGUGUAGUGCAUCCAGUGCAUCGGAUUACGCAGCGUGGGACAUAACUGUACUGAAUUCGGACCAGGGCUUCUCCGUUCCCGUCGUCGCCCGGCAGCGCAAGUGACUUGUUCGAGAGGAAAGAUGGAGAAGCGGUCGACGCUCGCUGCUCCGAGGACAUCGAUCCUUCAUCGCGAGAGACGAGCGUUGAAUUUCUUCCGCUAUGGAAAGUACACCACCGGCAGAUUGGAUGCGACGUCGUUCUGCUUUUCUUUUGCCGACAGCGCCGCUGUAUGUACUUACUUAACUCGGUCAUUGUCUCCUAAAAAAUAUGAUUGAUCGCGAGCCACCCCCGACGAGACGGAGCGGUUAGAUACACAUACUGAGACUCGAGGUUCGCCCCCUUUGCACGUGCGACUACACACGCGCGUCCGAGUAUACAUACGGAUAUGCAUUUGAAAAAAAAAAAAA